CAUAAACAACAUCAGGAAUAAGGACUCCAAGAUUUGACAGUGAACCUUUUUCUGGGACAUACAGAUGCUCACUGAAGCCAGUCUGAUAUUGCGUUUUAGAGGCUGAUAAAAGCCCAAAACUGAAUAUACCUGCAAAGAGCAACAAUGCAAGAGAUAAAGGAAGAAGCAAGAGAACAGAGAUCCAUAUUCUGUUGCAGGCAGUGAUGGCAGCAUCUCUGCCUCAGUGGCCUCAAUCCAGCCACAGGCAUCCAGCAGCUCAGCUCCCAG